UGAUCAUGGCUCAGAUUGAACGCUGGCGGUAUGCUUAACACAUGCAAGUCGAACGGAAACGAUGGAAGCUUGCUUCCAGGCGUCGAGUGGCGGACGGGUGAGUAACGCGUAGGAAUCUGCCAGAUAGUGGGGGAUAGCCCGGAGAAAUCCGGAUUAAUACCGCAUAAUCUCCAUGGAGUAAAGAGGGCCUCUAUUUAUAAGCUUUCGCUAUCUGAUGAGCCUGCGUAAGAUUAGCUAGUUGGUGGGGUAAUGGCCUACCAAGGCGACGAUCUUUAGCUGGUCUGAGAGGAUGAUCAGCCACACUGGGACUGAGACACGGCCCAGGCUCCUACGGGAGGCAGCAGUGGGGAAUAUUGGACAAUGGGGGCAACCCUGAUCCAGCAAUACCGCGUGUGUGAAGAAGGCCUGAGGGUUGUAAAGCACUUUCAAUUGUGAAGAAAAGUUAAUAGUUAAUACCUAUUAGCCUUGACGUUAACUUUAGAAGAAGCACCGGCUAACUCCGUGCCAGCAGCCGCGGUAAUACGGAGGGUGCAAGCGUUAAUCGGAAUUACUGGGCGUAAAGCGUGCGUAGGCGGUUGACUAAGUCAGAUGUGAAAGCCCCGGGCUUAACCUGGGAACUGCAUUUGAAACUGGUCAACUAGAGUAUGGUAGAGGAAAGUGGAAUUUCUGGUGUAGCGGUGAAAUGCGUAGAUAUCAGAAGGAACAUCGAUGGCGAAGGCAGCUUUCUGGACCAAUACUGACGCUGA
rnacentral:rRNA from 1 species